UGCCGAGUGGUGUAGCGGUAGCACGCGUGGCUCUGGACCACGUAACCCUGGUUCGAAUCCAGGCUCGGCAGCCA
rnacentral:tRNA from 1 species